rnacentral:rRNA from 1 species
UACGGAAGGCAGCAGUGGGGAAUAUUGCACAAUGGGCGAAAGCCUGAUGCAGCUAUGCCGCGUGUAUGAAGAAGGCCUUAGGGUUGUAAAGUACUUUCAUCGGGGAGGAAAAAACAAAACUAAUAAUUUUAUUUCUUGACGUUACCCGAAAAAGAAGCACCGGCUAACUCCGUGCCAGCAGCCGCGGUAAUACGGAGGGUGCUAGCGUUAAUCAGAAUUACUGGGCGUAAAGAGCACGUAGGUGGUUUUUUUAAAGUUCAGAUGUGAAAUCCCUGGGCUUAACCUAGGAAACUGCAUUUUGAAACUGAAAUACUAGAGUAUCGUAGAGGGAGGUAGAAUUCUAGGUGUAGCGGUGAAAUGCGUAGAUAUCUGGAGGAAUACCUGUGGCGAAAGCGGCCUCCUAAACGAAUACUGACACUGAGGUGCGAAAGCGUGGGGAGCAAACAGGAUUAGAUACC